rnacentral:rRNA from 1 species
UACGAAGGGGGCUAGCGUUGCUCGGAAUCACUGGGCGUAAAGCGCACGUAGGCGGAUUGUUAAGUCAGGGGUGAAAUCCUGGAGCUCAACUCCAGAACUGCCUUUGAUACUGGGAAUCUCGAGUCCGGGAGAGGUGAGUGGAACUGCGAGUGUAGAGGUGAAAUUCGUAGAUAUUCGCAAGAACACCAGUGGCGAAGGCGGCUCACUGGCCCGGUACUGACGCUGAGGUGCGAAAGCGUGGGGAGCAAACAGG